rnacentral:lncRNA from 1 species
CCAGGAGGGGAGGCACAGCCUGGAGACACAGGCCCCAUCCUUCCCAAUGGGGACACUUCAGGGAGUGGCUCUCAGGUCCCGAGAAAGACCUUCCUGGCCACAGGAGACACACAGACAUCAGGAAGGGACAGAGGAAGGAUGUGCAGUUGCAGCCUUUUCAGCAGAUGCUCUGAGAAUGGGAGGUCAAGAGUUGGAGCAAACGACAGGGCCUCAGACCUAAGGCAGGAGCACCCCCUACACCAGACCUCCUGGGUCACAGGAAAUGCACAGACAUCGGGAAGGGACGGAGGAUGGACGGAGGAAGGACGUGCAGUUGCAGCUCUUUCUGCAGAUGCCCUGAGAGAGGAGCACAGAAGCUGUAAUGUUAUUAAACAAAGCAAUGUAUCCAGAUCACUCAGAAUCUAUGCCUGUCACGGGGAGCAGGAGAUGAGGGUGAAUGAAGAGCCAGAGCAUGGCAGGGGAGCCACUGCAAGGAUGCUGAAACUCAUGUGAACAGAGUUGCUGUAGGCAGGCCACCAUGGAACCUUGCGGGGGAAGCACUGCCUCUUAGGAAUGGCAGUGAAAAUGGGAGAAGAGGGUGGUAUUGCCUCCAGAUAGAAGAUGCAGUGCUUUGCCUUGCUCCUUGGUGCAUGGAGAGGGAAAGGGAUGCUGCUAUAAAGUUCCUGGCUGGACUUUGGCUUGAUAAGGCAUGGGUACCUUUGGGAGUAUGAGGGCGGGUGGGUUUGU